rnacentral:rRNA from 1 species
UAGGGAAUAUUGCGCAAUGGGGGCAACCCUGACGCAGCAACGCCGCGUGAGUGAUGAAGGUCUUCGGAUUGUAAAGCUCUUUUAGUGGGAACGAUAGUGACGGUACCCACAGAAAAAGUCCCGGCUAACUCUGUGCCAGCAGCCGCGGUAAUACAGAGGGGGCGAGCGUUGUUCGGAUUUACUGGGCGUAAAGCGACCACAGGCGGCUUGAUAAGUCAGGUGUGAAAGCCCCGGGCUCAACCCGGGAACUGCAUUUGAAACUGUCGAGCUUGAGUCAUGGAGAGGAUAGCGGAAUUACCAGUGUAGAGGUGAAAUUCGUAGAUAUUGGUAAGAACACCAGUGGCGAAGGCGGCUAUCUGGCCAUGUACUGACGCUCAAGGUCGAAAGCGUGGGGAGCAAA